rnacentral:misc_RNA from 1 species
UGGUGAAUGCUUGUGAUGGCACAGAAUGGCAACACAGUGCAAGUCCUGUGUUGAUCAAGUGCGUACAUUGGGCAGUCAGACAGAGACUGCACAUGUGAUGGUGGAAACAAGCGCCCAAACCGCAAUGGUCUUUCCACGUACCAUCCCUGUGCAGACAAGACCAACGAAAUUACGGAGCCGAGGCACAAACACGGGCCCUGUAUGAUGAGCUGAAAGAGAAAUAAUCAUCCACUCGAUGCUGAAGAGACAACACUACGAAGAGGCUCUACCAGAGGGAAGAAAGCCACCAUUAUGCAAGCACCUGCUCUGGUGCACUAAGGAACACCUUUCCUCACGUCAACUAUGUGGAACCGGCUGUUUUCGGGUGUUGCCAAAUGCUGCCACCGUGAAGAUAGCGCACAAAGAGUGCAUGUGAUAAAGCUUCAACGGCACAUUAUUGUCAACAGUGUUCGAGGAGUACUGU